AACGCGAAGAACCUUACCAAGGCUUGACAUACACGAGAACGGGCCAGAAAUGGUCAACUCUUUGGACACUCGUGAACAGGUGGUGCAUGGUUGUCGUCAGCUCGUGUCGUGAGAUGUUGGGUUAAGUCCCGCAACGAGCGCAACCCUCGUUCUAUGUUGCCAGCACGUGAUGGUGGGAACUCAUAGGAGACUGCCGGGGUCAACUCGGAGGAAGGUGGGGAUGACGUCAAAUCAUCAUGCCCCUUAUGUCUUGGGCUUCACGCAUGCUACAAUGGCCGGUACAAAGGGCUGCGAUACCGUAAGGUGGAGCGAAUCCCAAAAAGCCGGUCUCAGUUCGGAUUGAGGUCUGCAACUCGACCUCAUGAAGUCGGAGUCGCUAGUAAUCGCAGAUCAGC
rnacentral:rRNA from 1 species